rnacentral:rRNA from 1 species
CGGUAACUCUAGCUCCAAUAGCGUAUACUAAAGUUGUUGCAGUUAAAAAGCUCGUAGUUGGAUUUCUGCGGGGACGGAGCGGCCGGUCGCAACUUGCGACUCGAGCUAGCGCUUUCCCCGCAUCCUGCCGCGAACCGUGCUACCAUUAGUUUGGUGGCGCUGGGGAUCGGCUCGAUUACUUUGAGAAAAAUAGAGUGUUCAAAGCAGGCCACACGCCUUGAAUAAGUUAGCAUGGAAUAAUGACUAAGGACUUCGGUUCUAUUUUGUUGGUGUUCGGGACCGAAGUAAUGAUUGAUAGGGACAGUUGGGGCGGUCUGUAUUCCAAAGCGAGAGGUGAAAUUCCUAGACCUUCGGAAGACAAACAGCUGCGAAAGCGUUCCGCAAGGAUGUUCCCUUUGAUCAAGAACGAAAGUUGGGGGAUCGAAGACGAUCAGAUACCGUCGGAGUCUCAACUAUAAACUAUACCAGCUAGGGAUCGGUCAACGUUUAAUUAUUCGACUUGAUCGGCACCUUAUGAGAAAUCAAAGCAUCUGGGUUCCGGGGGGAGUAUGGUCGCAAGGCUGAAACUUAAAGGAAUUGACGGAAGGGCACCACCAGCCGUGGAGCCUGUGGCUUAAUUUGACUCAACACGGGAAAACUUACCAGGUCCAGACAUAGUAAGGAUUGACAGAUUGAUAGCUCUUUCUUGAUUCUGUGGGUGGUGGUGCAUGGCCGUUCUUAGUUGGUGGAGUGAUUUGUCUGGUUAAUUCCGUUAACGAACGAGACCCCAGCCUGCUAAAUAGCGCGGCUGAGCUUUGCUCGGUGCGAGCUUCUUAGAGGAACUAUGAUGCGCGAUAGCACAUGGAAGUUUGGGGCAAUAACAGGUCUGUGAUGCCCUUAGAUGUUCUGGGCCGCACACGGGCUACACUGGCGCCUGCAACGAGCAUAUCAGCUGGCCCGAGAGGGUCUUGGCUAAUCUUUUGAACCGGCGCCGUGCUUGGGAUUGACCUUUGCAAUUGUUGGUCAUGCAACGAGGAAUGCCUUGUAAACGCGAGUCAUCAGCUCGCAUUGAAUACGUCCCUGCCCUUUGUACACACCGCCCGUCGCUCCUACCGAUGAAUGUUCCGAUGAAAUUUUCGGAGAGCGCCAGAGAACGGGGCUCUGCCUUGCAGAUCUGGAGGCUCAAAGUCACUUAAAUCUGAACAUUUCGAGGAAGGAGAAGUCGUAACAAGGUAACC